CCUACGGGAGGCAGCAGUGGGGAAUUUUGGACAAUGGGCGAAAGCCUGAUCCAGCAAUGCCGCGUGAGUGAAGAAGGCCUUCGGGUUGUAAAGCUCUUUUGUCAGGGAAGAAACGGUGAGGGCUAAUAUCUCUUGCUAAUGACGGUACCUGAAGAAUAAGCACCGGCUAACUACGUGCCAGCAGCCGCGGUAAUACGUAGGGUGCAAGCGUUAAUCGGAAUUACUGGGCGUAAAGCGUGCGCAGGCGGUUUUGUAAGUCUGAUGUGAAAUCCCCGGGCUCAACCUGGGAAUUGCAUUGGAGACUGCAAGGCUAGAAUCUGGCAGAGGGGGGUAGAAUUCCACGUGUAGCAGUGAAAUGCGUAGAUAUGUGGAGGAACACCGAUGGCGAAGGCAGCCCCCUGGGUCAAGAUUGACGCUCAUGCACGAAAGCGUGGGGAGCAAACAGGAUUAGAUACCCUGGUAGUCCACGCCCUAAACGAUGUCUACUAGUUGUCGGGUCUUAAUUGACUUGGUAACGCAGCUAACGCGUGAAGUAGACCGCCUGGGGAGUACGGUCGCAAGAUUAAAACUCAAAAGUGAAUUGACGG
rnacentral:rRNA from 1 species